GGCUCGUUUUCGGUAUGGAGUAUUUGACGAUUCUCGACAUCCCUCUGACGACGGUUGCCACCUUUUCUGCACCGAAGGUUUGCAGGUGUUCAGGUUUUGCGACGAGGAAGGUAAUGACAACAUUUCGCAGACAAAAAAUUCUGAUUACGAAACCUGCGCAUCUAAACCAACCUCGGCUGUUAUAAGGGAGAGCGAGGACUACCAUGAAUUGCAAGGCCGUACACUUGAGACAAUACCCGAUGUGAUAUUUCAUGUGAUUCAACACAUCGAGGCGC